AAUCCAUAGGUUAAUGAGGCGAACCGGGGGAACUGAAACAUCUAAGUACCCCGAGGAAAAGAAAUCAACCGAGAUUCCCCCAGUAGCGGCGAGCGAACGGGGAGGAGCCCAGAGCCUGAAUCAGCAUGUGUGUUAGUGGAAGCGUCUGGAAAGGCGCGCGAUACAGGGUGACAGCCCCGUACACAAAAGCGCAUGUGCUGUGAGCUCGAUGAGUAGGGCGGGACACGUGGUAUCCUGUCUGAAUAUGGGGGGACCAUCCUCCAAGGCUAAAUACUCCUGACUGACCGAUAGUGAACCAGUACCGUGAGGGAAAGGCGAAAAGAACCCCGGCGAGGGGAGUGAAAAAGAACCUGAAACCGUGUACGUACAAGCAGUGGGAGCACCCUUUGGGGUGUGACUGCGUACCUUUUGUAUAAUGGGUCAGCGACUUAUAUUCUGUAGCAAGGUUAACCGAAUAGGGGAGCCGGAGGGAAACCGAGUCUUAACCGGGCGUUAAGUUGCAGGGUAUAGACCCGAAACCCGGUGAUCUAGCCAUGGGCAGGUUGAAGGUUGGGUAACACUAACUGGAGGACCGAACCGACUAAUGUUGAAAAAUUAGCGGAUGACCUGUGGCUGGGGGUGAAAGGCCAAUCAAACCGGGAGAUAGCUGGUUCUCCCCGAAAGCUAUUUAGGUAGCGCCUCGUGAAUUCAUCUCCGGGGGUAGAGCACUGUUUCGGCUAGGGGGCCAUCCCG
rnacentral:rRNA from 1 species